UACGUAGGGUGCGAGCGUUGUCCGGAAUUAUUGGGCGUAAAGAGCUCGUAGGCGGUCUGUCGCGUCGGUCGUGAAAACUUGGGGCUUAACCCUGAGCUUGCGGUCGAUACGGGCAUGACUGGAGUUCGGCAGGGGAGACUGGAAUUCCUGGUGUAGCGGUGAAAUGCGCAGAUAUCAGGAGGAACACCGGUGGCGAAGGCGGCUCACUGGUCCAUUACUGACGCUGAGGUGCGAAAGCGUGGGGAGCAAACAGG
rnacentral:rRNA from 1 species